CACACAACGGGGUUUCGGGGCUGUGGACCCUGUGCCAGGAAAGGAAGGGCGCAGCUCCUGCAAUGCGGAGCAGCCAGGGCAGUGGGCACCAGGCUUUAGCCUCCCUUUCUCACCCUACAGAGGGCAGGCCCUUCAGCUCCAUUCUCCUCCAAGGCUGCAGAGGGGGCAGGAAUUGGGGGUGACAGGAGAGCUGUAAGGUCUCCAGUGGGUCAUUCUGGGCCCAGAGAUGGGUGCUGAAGCUCCCACACCUGCCUGUGAAAAUGGAUUCCUCUCUCACCUGGGAGAGCCAGGUGCUGCCCCGAGAAGGAUGCAUUUAUGGCUUCAUGAAGUCUUUCCUGACCCCCGAUGCUGCUGACUAUAGACAAAGUCUCACUAUGUUGCUCAGGCUGGUCUUGAACUCCUGGCCUCAAGCGAUCCUCCCACCUUAGCCUCCCAAAGUGUUGGGAUUAUAGACAUGAGCCACUGCACCUGGCCAACCUUGGGCAAGUUCUUAAACCCUUCAAAGCCUCAUUUUUCUCCAAUCAUAAAAGGGAAAGAUGGUAAUAUUUUCCCCGCCAAAUUCUUGUCGGAUGCCCUCACAGAAUUGAGAUUAUGUACGUAAAACACCAGGUGCCUAACCCGGCACAGAGCAGGAGGGCUAAGCGUGACAUCCAGCAUGUGGUCAGUGGAAUCCAGUAUUCCUACCCACCUCUCUAGUCUCCCCUCCACCCCUCUCCCUUUCAGAGGCACCAAGCUGCUUGUGGUCUUGUCUAUUCCCACUCCCUGCCCGACUGAACAUUUUCUCUACCUCCUGAUCAUCAGCAGCAGAAACUGGCUGCUCUUCCUCCUGGGUAGACAGCCAGACUGUAUUUCCCAGCUGCCCCUGCAGUGAGAUGUGGCCAUCGGAGCCAGCAUUGGCCAAUGGACUCUGCAUGGGAGUGACGCAUGCUGCCUCCAGGCUUGUCUCUAAAACCUCCCACGUGUCCUCCACCUGCUCUUCCCACCUCCAAGGAGCACGGCAAUUGUGGAAGACCCAGAUUAGUGAUGGCAGAACCAUAGAUGGGAGGAACCUGGGUCCCUGACUUAAAGUAUCAUGGAUUUGGAUGUUCCCUUAGUGAGAAAUAAACUUCCAUUGUGUUUAAGCCUU
rnacentral:lncRNA from 1 species